rnacentral:lncRNA from 1 species
UCCUGGCUGCUCCCUGCAGACUGAAAAGGUUGACUUCUAGAUCUAUACGUGACCAGCUUAAUUCUAGAGAGACUGUCUGAAGUACUGCACUGUGUUUAGUUUCCACGUCAUUUAUCACUGACAUCGUCUCAUGCAUGAAAGUGCAAGGAGAUUUAAGGAGCUGGCAUUUUCUCACAAGAUCUCCUUUAGUGGAACGGUGCCUAACAUGCUACUUAACUCACGCUGCCACUGAAACAUAACUCUCCUCUCCCCAGCACUUCUGUCUUCCAUGGAACAGCACAGUCUUCAGCAAGUAGAAAGCUCUACUCAGAACUCUUAGUCCUAUUGUGCUAAAAUGUGCGUCACACGCACAGGGUUAGGUCACAACCUAUCUUCGCACUUCAAAUCCCACGUCUCAAAAACAGCUGGACAGAACCUGGUUUUGUAAGAGCAAGUCACCUGAAUGACCAAGAAAUUCUCAAAUAGCACAAAGAAGACAAAAAGAAAAUACUACUUCUUUGAGUUUGAAGAAGACCGAGUUUAUGUGCCUCAUUAUGGAUUUUUACUUCUUCAAUUUGUUUUCAUUCUUCCAACCCACCACUUUUUUUUUUUACUGUCUAAAAGCAUUAAAAA